rnacentral:rRNA from 1 species
UACAGAGGGUGCAAGCGUUGUUCGGAAUCAUUGGGCGUAAAGCGCAUGUAGGCUGCUAUCUAAGUCUGGUGUGAAAGCCUGAGGCUUAACCUCAGAAGUGCACUGGAUACUGGAUAGCUCGAGGGCGAGAGAGGAUAGUGGAAUUCCUGGUGUAGGGGUGAAAUCCGUAGAUAUCAGGAGGAACAUCGGUGGCGAAGGCGGCUAUCUGGCUCGUUUCUGACGCUGAGAUGCGAAAGCGCGGGGAGCAAACAGG